rnacentral:rRNA from 1 species
AUGAACGCUGGCGGCGUGCCUAAUACCUGCCAGUCGAGCGAACAGACGAGGAGCUUGCUCCUCUGACGUUAGCGGCGGACGGGUGAGUAACACGUGGAUAACCUACCUAUAAGACUGGGAUAACUUCGGGAAACCGGAGCUAAUACCGGAUAAUAUAUUGAACCGCAUGGUUCAAUAGUGAAAGACGGUUUUGCUGUCACUUAUAGAUGGAUCCGCGCCGCAUUAGCUAGUUGGUAAGGUAACGGCUUACCAAGGCGACGAUGCGUAGCCGACCUGAGAGGGUGAUCGGCCACACUGGAACUGAGACACGGUCCAGACUCCUACGGGAGGCAGCAGUAGGGAAUCUUCCGCAAAGGGCGAAAGCUUGACGGAGCAACGCCGCGUGAGUGAUGAAGGUCUUCGGAUCGUAAAACUCUGUUAUUAGGGAAGAACAAAUGUGUAAGUAACUAUGCACGUCUUGACGGUACCUAAUCAGAAAGCCACGGCUAACUACGUG